rnacentral:lncRNA from 10 species
GGUCGCUCAUGCCUGGCGACAAAGGGAUGGCUUCGUAGAUGGCGCUCAGGUCCCGCGGCCGCACGCCCUGCUCGCCCAGGAGGAACGUGUCAGCAGGUGGGGUUUCUGCCAGAGUCCGAAGCAAGCGGGCAGCAGGAGAAGCAGUGGGGCUUGGGGAGGUAAGAGCCUCCCGCACCAGGCCAUGACACACCUGGGAGACAGAGUCACCCUCUGGUCUCAUCAACAUCCAGUGGGCAUUUCAGUGGCCCAGGAUCCUUCAAAUUGCAGAUAUAAAGCAUCAGGACCCCACACCUGGGAUGGAAGCUUCUAGGAAUUAAUGAAGCCCCAGUAGAGGUGAGGGUAAACCUAAAACGGGCUGGAUAGGGCCUCUCCCAAGGCCCUAUGGAAAGGUGAUGGGAAACUGGGGGCUGAGGCCUCAUCCUAGGAGACCCCUGGAGGGACCCACUUACCCUAGAUAGGCAGCGGAGGCCAGAAACUGGAAAACAGCCACUCAUUGUCGGUGCAUUACCGUGAGCACCACCUGUAGGGACUCUGUUGGCCUCCAGCCGUCGUCACACGUUCCUGACAACCACAAAAGUUCAUUUGAGGGUGCCCAGUCAGCUGACUUUGCUUCCACCAGGAAUACCCACCUGGCCCUGGUCCUUCUGCUGAGCUACAGGAGGCAUUCCCAGGGUCUUAGCAAAAACAACCCCUCAAAUAGGCCCAGUGCCUACAACUCUAGAGAGGUUUCAGAUGGUAUUGGAGACCCAGAGAAGUUAACUGACUUUCCCAAAAGUCACCCACUGUAAAUGGCAGACAGAUCUCAAACCCACAUCUGAGCCUGAGUCCAGUGUUUUUUCUCUAGUAUCAUCAUUGUCCCUUAAAUGUGUUUGACACAUCAUAGUUUACAAAUCACCUUCACUCAUAUUCUCUCACUACUCAUCAGUCAUGAAUUCAGCCAAUGAGAAGGGCUCAGAGAGGUUAACUAACCAGCCACGCUGUUUACAUGGGGCAUAGACUGCUUCAUGAACGCUUGACUGCAGCUUUGCCUUCCUCAUGCCCUCAAAAAGGAAGGAGCUGACCAAAGCUUACUAUACCAUAGCUGGGGUCUGGGACCCCCAGCCAGGUCUCACAGAUGAUCUGGGAAUGGCCUCCCUGUUGCUCUCAGGGGUCCGGCAGUCACACAGAAGAGUCAGGUUGAAAUCUUGGCAAGACUUUGGUGUGGCUUUGGGAACUGGGUUUAACCUCUUGGGGACUUCACCAAGACAGUGGCAAAGGACACCACCUACAGCUUCCAGUGCCUCUCUACUCUCCCACCUGUGCUCCUGGGGUUGAAUGAGACCAGAAGCAGCUGGGACAAGAUUUGGAAAGAUAAAGAGAGCCAGGAGACAAGACCUUGAGAGAAGCAGAGGUCUGGCUGGCUGCUGCCCUCUGGUGGUGACAAUGGUGACACUGUAAACCCCUCUGUCAAGGUGACACUCUCCCCUGACUAUUCAGGAGGGAGAAGCAAUCGCCCCAGGACAGAGACGGGGACAUCCCAGGAGCAGGGUACAGGCUCUAGCAAUAUCCAUCUUGCGGUACUCCCUCCCUCACAACAACCAGACCACACAUGUGUUAAAUCCUUCUGCAGGGAUGGAAUGCGGCUCUCAGUUUUUUCCAAGAACUUCUAAUCUAGGAAUUAGGAGAGGUGGUCAAAGCUGAAUGAAGCAGUGGGCAAAGAGAGGGUGAGGGAUGGGAGAGAAGACAGGUCAAGGAGGAGGUGGGAGAGAAGGGGAGGGUUGCAUGAGGGACAAGGAAAUGGCAUGGGUUGGAGCUGUCCCCAGUCCCUAUCUGGAGGGACUUCCAACCUUCCAGAUUCCCAGCUGAUAUCACAUGUCCAACCUCAGCCAGGCGAUUUAUAAGAGAAAGGUCAGGGAUGCCACUCCCCUUGUAAAAGCAAACAUGCAGCAUCUGGAGAAGCAAGGGGUAGAUACAAAGAUUCCAAGGGGUCACCAACAGCUACCCAGAGACCAGCUUUCAUCCUAUAGAGAAGGGUCUCAUUACUUUGCCCUUCCUUCCUUCCUGUCUCUCUCCUUCCUUCCUUCCUUCCUUCCUUCCUUCCUUCCUUCCUUCCUUCCUUCCUCCUUCCUUCCUUCCUUCCUUCCUUCCUUUUUUCUAUUCUAUUGAUCAUUAAUUAUGGUCAAAACUUCUCAUUUUUUCAGCCAGGCAGGGUGGCUUAAGCCUGUAAUCCCAACACUUUGGGAGGCGAGGCAGGCAGAUCACUUAAGUCUAGGAGUUUGAGACCAGACUGGGUGACAUGGCAAAACCCUGUCUCUUUAAAAACAAAAAUUAAGGCCGGGCGUGGUGGCUCAUGCCUGUAAUCCCAGCACUUUGGGAGGCCGAGGCAGGCGAAUCACGAGGUCAGAAGAUCGAGACCAUCCUGGCUAACAUGGUGAAACCCUGUCUCUACUAAAAAUACAAAAAAUUAGCUGGGUGUGGUGGCGGGCGCCUGUAGUCCCAGCUACUCGGGAGGCUGAGGCAGGAGAAUGGCGUGAACCCGGGAGGCGGAACUUGCAGUGAGCCGAGAUUGCGCCAUUGCAUUCCAGCCUGGGCGACAGCGAGACUCCGUCUCAAAAAAAAAAAAAAAAAAAAAAAUUAGCUGGGUAUGGUAGCUUGUGCCCAUAGUCCCAGCUACUUGGGAGGCUGAGGCACGAGGAUCACUUAAACCCAGGAGACAGAGGUUGCAGUGAGCUGUAAUGGUACCACUGCACUCCAGCCUGGGUGACAGAGGGAGUAACCCCAUCCCCAACACACACACACACACACACACACACACAAAACUCCUCAUUUCUCAUCAUAAAAUACAGUUACAUUUUUCUGCUAAUAAUAGUAUCUAGGGGAUUCAGUUAAACACUUAUUGUUUGGUGAGUUGCCCUUGUUUCUUUCAGUCUCCAAGGCAGAAAGUCAGGCAUCUUGGGUUUCUUCCCCAGAAAACUGAGAAGGCCAUGCUGUGACACCUCGUCCCCACCCCACAGGAGUCAGAGGAACCCCUUCCCCAGUUGGAAUUUGGCUCCUGUGAUGCUCCAAAAGGAGAGAGAAGGGGACUCACUCCUGAGCUCCAGAACUCCCCCAGUGCCACGCGCGUGAAGGAGCGCCUUCAAACUCCACAGCCCCCACCCCGCGCCGGGACCCCAGCCCUCCCCUAUCUCCCGGAGCCCAGGACUCACGUGGGGGCGGCGGCAGCAGAGGUCUGUCCCGGCUGAGUUUGGAGUGUAAGAAGUGGGGAAG